rnacentral:rRNA from 1 species
CGAGCUGAUCUCCUUCGGGAGUGACGCUCGUGGAACGAGCGGCGGACGGGUGAGUAACACGUGGGCAACCUACCUGUAAGAUCGGAAUAACCCCGGGAAACCGGGGCUAAUGCCGGGUAACACCUUUCCUCACAUGAGGAGAGGUUAAAAGAUGGCUUCUUGCUAUCACUUACAGAUGGGCCCGCGGCGCAUUAGCUAGUUGGUGAGGUAACGGCUCACCAAGGCGACGAUGCGUAGCCGACCUGAGAGGGUGAUCGGCCACACUGGGACUGAGACACGGCCCAGACUCCUACGGGAGGCAGCAGUAGGGAAUCUUCCGCAAUGGACGAAAGUCUGACGGAGCAACGCCGCGUGAACGAUGAAGGUCUUCGGAUCGUAAAGUUCUGUUGUUAGGGAAGAACAAGUACCGUGCGAAUAGAGCGGUACCUUGACGGUACCUAACGAGGAAGCCCCGGCUAACUACGUGCCAGCAGCCGCGGUAAUACGUAGGGGGCAAGCGUUGUCCGGAAUUAUUGGGCGUAAAGCGCGCGCAGG